UUGAUCAACACUGAAUGCAUAUCCCUUACCAUGGUUUUCGGGCUGAUCCUUUUUCUUGCUCUUUUAAAAGGUGUCCAGUGUGAGGUGAAGCUUGUCGAGUCUGGAGGUGGCUUGGUGCAGCCUGGAAGAUCCUUGAGACUCUCUUGUGCAACCUCUGGAUUCAGUUUUAGUAGCUACUGGAUGAGCUGGUUCCGGCAGGCUCCAGAGAAGAGGCUAGAAUGGAUCGGAGAAAUUAGUCAUACCAGCAAUACAAUAAACUACACACCAUCUUUGAAGGAUAAAUUCACCAUCUCCAGAGACAAUCCCCAAAACACUCUGUAUCUGCAAAUGAGCAACCUGAGACCUGAGGACACAGCCAUUUAUUCCUGUACAAGAGACACAGUAAGGACAUCACAGUAUGUACCCAGACAUUAG